GACGAACGCUGGCGGCGUGCCUAACACAUGCAAGUCGAACGAGGUCCAAGGAAGCUUGCUUCCUGAAGACCUAGUGGCGAACGGGUGAGUAACACGUGAGAAACCUGCCUCGGAGUGGGGAAUAACUCGGGGAAACUCGAGCUAAUACCGCAUACCUUCACAUGAUCGCAUGGUCGAGUGAAGAAAGAAUUUCGCUCUGAGAGGGUCUCGCGGCCUAUCAGCUUGUUGGUGGGGUAACGGCCUACCAAGGCAACGACGGGUAGCUGGUUUGAGAGAACGAUCAGCCACACUGGGACUGAGACACGGCCCAGACUCCUACGGGAGGCAGCAGUGGGGAAUCUUGCGCAAUGGGCGAAAGCCUGACGCAGCAACGCCGCGUGCGGGAUGACGGCCUUCGUGGUUGUAAACCGCUUUCAGCAGGGCGAAAAUGACGGUACCUGCAGAAGAAGCCCCGGCUAACUACGUGCCAGCAGCCGCGGUAAU
rnacentral:rRNA from 1 species